rnacentral:rRNA from 1 species
UACGUAGGUGGCAAGCGUUGUCCGGAAUUAUUUGGGCGUAAAGCGCGCGCAGGCGGUCCUUUAAGUCUGAUGUGAAAGCCCACGGCUCAACCGUGGAGGGUCAUUGGAAACUGGGGGACUUGAGUGCAGGAGAGAAGAGUGGAAUUCCACGUGUAGCGGUGAAAUGCGUAGAGAUGUGGAGGAACACCAGUGGCGAAGGCGACUCUUUGGCCUGUGAACUGACGCUGAGGCGCGAAAGCGUGGGGAGCAAACAGG